CCCUUGCCCCGUCCCUGCACAGAUCCAGGCUGUCUCUUGCGGUGCGCAUGCACCUACCGUAUCGUUAUCAACGUCUCCGAGGCAGAUUGCGUGCGGGAAGAGGCUCCCGCUGAACUCCAGCGCCACGCGCUGCACGUAGCUAACUGACCUCAUGGCACCUCCAAGAGCAGAGGGAGCGGAGAGGCCCAGUAAAUAUUCCCUGAACCCCCGUCGCGACAGCCGCCAGAGCGGAAGGCCACCUAAGGCAGCAAGUUACGUCACUGCCUGAACCUCCAAUCUCUGCCUCUUCCUCCUUUAACCUUACAGAGGAGGCGGGUCUUCCGGGCUUGGAGGCGGGCUUCCCAACUCUGAUGAUGCAGAGCUGGAAGAAACCUCAGGAAUGCUUUCGAUUUUGCAGAUGAGGACAGAAGCCCAGGACUUGCCAAAGGAACCUCAUGGGAGAGUCUGGAUUAGUUCAGAGACCUCACCUUUCCAUUUAACUUCUGAGUCUUGGUUUUCUUAUCUGUAAAUAGGGUUAUUAAAGUUAUACCUUCUUU
rnacentral:lncRNA from 1 species